rnacentral:rRNA from 1 species
UGAGCAAUCUGCCCUUCUCAUCGGAAUAAGCGUUGGAAACGACGUCUAAUGCCGAAUACGACCUCCUUUCGCAUGAUCGGAGGUGGAAAGCUCCGGCGGAGAAGGAUGAGCUCGCGGCCUAUCAGCUAGUUGGUGUGGGUAAUGGCCCACCAAGGCGACGACGGGUAGCCGGCCUGAGGAGGGUGACCGGCCACACUGGGACUGAGACACGGCCCAGACCUCCGUACGGGGAGCAG